ACAUCUCGAGUGCAGCAAACCAGGGGACCAAGAUGGAGUGCUGAGUUCCUGCUGAUCUGUCCUCAGUUGCACCAAAUGAGAAAUCAACUUGGCCAUGUUUUGGGACAUUUAUAGCAGAUGUGAGAGCCUGAAAUUCAACCUGAGGCUGGAGGUCAGACAAAGCUUCCUGACUGCAAUAUCUGUGGGGCUGAAGGGCAGGAUGUGCAGGAUGUGAGGAGCAGCUUGCUUUCUUCAUCAGCCCAAUGGCAGAUCUAAGAACAUACCUUCACUUUGCGGAGGAUGGCAUGACCUCAGAGCACUGCCACAGUCACCAGAAGGGCUCAUGGAUGGCGCUGGUUAUGGUGGGAUCUGUCACGCGUGCACUGGAGGGGUGCUGAGUGGUAACGCUGGGACUGCCUUGUCCUGAGGACAUCUACUCUUCUUGCUCACUGUCAGCUCAGGAGGACAUGAAGCCAAGGAGGCAGCAGCUAUGAUGGCAUCACGGAGGGAACCAGAGCCUGAAUAAACACAUACGUCACCCAGCUGAGAGUGGAUGAACUUCAGCUUCCUCCAAACACACCUCUCACAAGAGCUGCUGUGAAUCACAGCAAAACAUCGAGUCUAACUGAAACACUGAAUCACAGAACCAGCUGUCACACAGCCCUGCAGCAUCUCCUGCAGGAGCUCAUCCAGCAUCAGCCCUGCUCUCCAGGUCUCUCUCUUCUGCAGGACAUCCACAUCCUCAAAGCAAGAAACAGAGGAAGGCAUUUCUCAGAUGGAUGGAUUUAAGCAGCGGACAUGGGGCAGUUCUGGUCUGUAAGCCAUGUCGGCCACAGGAGUUCUUGUUAUUUGGAGAUGGUGUUUUAGGUUAUGGGACAAGAUUGCUUCACCUUUGAGCGGGCAGGUAAGGGCAUCUUGGACCUGCAUCUGGCUUCUGUUGGCUUGAUCUGAUGUCCUCUGGGUCUUGGAUGAGAGGAGAGAGUAUGCAGCUCUACUCAGUGCCUCCAUGUCUCUCACAGCUUUGUAGAUCUAUCCUAUCUCUCCAUAUCUACAGCCAUAUCCCCAGGUCUAUAACACCAAGAAGAGCAGAAAACAACUCGGAAAGCCAGUAACCCCUAUGCUUCACUGAGGCAAAUCCAAAUACUCUAAAGCACUUUCACAUUUCAUCUACCUCCAAAGAAGAAAAGCCUUGACUUCUUCUUUCUCUCUGGGAUUAAGGCAUUCCAGAACAAGCACAGGAGACCUGUGUCACCUUAGCCGUGGGGGAGUCUUUAAAUCUGAUCAUAAGCAUCUACCAGGACAGUUCUAGGAAAAAAAGCUAUUUGUCAUUCAAGUUGCCUGAACUUCCAGGCUCCUAUACCCAGGCUCAGGUCUCUUCUGUAAGGGUUCUACACCCUCUUUUUACCCAGUCUUUCCUUCUAAUUCAUUCCAGACAAAGGAAUCCACUAGGCCACCUUGCUGCCCAGCUUUCUUCUACCACCAAACACCAGCAUGCAUCUACUGGCAUAAACGUGAUCACAAAGUCGUGACUGCACAGGGAGAACAAACAUGCUGAGCAGAUGGGUUGUGAGGGAGGAAGCCCUCAUUUAAAAUACAAAUAACUGGCAAUAACUUAGCAGAUGUGGUAAGAGGAAUCUGGACAGACAAGCACGAGGUGACUGGAUUCCAAUUUCAGUUAAGUAAUGUGGAAUUUUCCCUGGCAAAGAAAGGUUUCAUCUUCCAUCUCCUUGAUUACCUUGUCCAGAAGAGAUAAUUACUUUGAUGUUAGGUGUCUUCACAAGAAUGAUAGAGGGUAUUCUUCAUUUAGGAUCUUAUACGACUCCCUGCCCUUACAAGGUAGAUUUUUCACUAGAGAAAUCUAGCCUCUAUAGCCCAGAAGUCCAUGAGAAAAGACUAAAAUUCAAGCAGAAGUCCCCAGCCAAAGACUUUAGUGUCUGUCCUUCUCUUCCCCAACAUCAGAUCAGCAUCCCUCAGGAAAUAUCUUGGAGAUGUUAAAGAAAUCUAUACAUCUAGCAUACUGCAAUAUUAGUUUGGCCCUGGAAUCUCAUCUUGGCAGAUGUACCAACAUUACCACAGAUGAGUAUGAGGAUUUUCUCCUUAUAAUUGUUACAGAGACAUUAAUCAUGCAGGGGAAAUUAACCCUGCCAGGCAGCACUGCAGCAGAGAUCAGGAAAGCACAGUCAUCGCUGGCCAACGGCUCAAGCUGAACGUGGGAGAAAUGUCAGGUGCACAGACACACAACAGAUAGCAAAAAUAUUCUGUGAUCCUCAGUCAGGGGAAACAAAACCUGCCUUAUUCAAGAUUUCCCUUCAUAUGCAAUCAUCAGGCUCUCCAAAGACAACACAUUUGGCAGCUCCUGCACUCUCUCCUUACAUAAGGUGGGGAUUCAGUCAUCUAAAGCUCACUCCUUGUUCCUGUAUGCACUGCACCCCCUGUUCACAAGACACAGAUCUUGCACAGAAGCUUGUUGCCCUGAAGCCCACGAGAAACAAAAAUCAAAGCCAAAACUUGAUGCUUAGAAGAGGAAUAGCUGUAGGUAUAAUGAAACUCCAAGGCUGCUCUUGAGUGAGGACAAGAAGCACAGUCCUCACCCCAGGUGUCACAGGACCUGCCAUCAGGGAGCACAACACGUGUGAGUUUAUUGCAGGUGGAGGUUUCUGUAUGAACACUUCAGGAGAGGAACAUGUUUAUAAACAAAUCACCCCCGCAAUUUUCUCC
ensembl:lncRNA